rnacentral:rRNA from 1 species
GGAUUAGAUACCCUGGUAGUCCACGCUGUAAACGGUGAGUACUAGGCGUCGGGGGUACCCACUCCCUCGGUGCCGGAGUUAACAUUUUAAGUACUCCGCCUGGGAAGUACGGCCGCAAGGUUGAAACUCAAAGGAAUUGACGGGGGCCCGCACAAGCGGUGGAGCAUGUGGUUUAAUUCGAUGCAACGCGAAGAACCUUACCUGGGUUUGACAUCCUUGGAAUCUUCUGGAGACAGUUGAGUGCCCUUCGGGGAACCAAGUGACAGGUGCUGCAUGGCUGUCGUCAGCUCGUGCCG